AGAGUUUGAUCAUGGCUCAGGACGAACGCUGGCGGCGUGCCUAAUACAUGCAAGUAGAACGCUGAAGAGAGGAGCUUGCUCUUCUUGGAUGAGUUGCGAACGGGUGAGUAACGCGUAGGUAACCUGCCUUGUAGCGGGGGAUAACUAUUGGAAACGAUAGCUAAUACCGCAUAACAAUGGAUGACCCAUGUCAUUUAUUUGAAAGGGGCAAAUGCUCCACUACAAGAUGGACCUGCGUUGUAUUAGCUAGUAGGUGAGGUAACGGCUCACCUAGGCGACGAUACAUAGCCGACCUGAGAGGGUGAUCGGCCACACUGGGACUGAGACACGGCCCAGACUCCUACGGGAGGCAGCAGUAGGGAAUCUUCGGCAAUGGGGGCAACCCUGACCGAGCAACGCCGCGUGAGUGAAGAAGGUUUUCGGAUCGUAAAGCUCUGUUGUAAGUCAAGAACGAGUGUGAGAGUGGAAAGUUCACACUGUGACGGUAGCUUACCAGAAAGGGACGGCUAACUACGUGCCAGCAGCCGCGGUAAUACGUAGGUCCCGAGCGUUGUCCGGAUUUAUUGGGCGUAAAGCAAGCGCAGGCGGUUUGAUAAGUCUGAAGUUAAAGGCUGUGGCUCAACCAUAGUUCGCUUUGGAAACUGUCAAACUUGAGUGCAGAAGGGGAGAGUGGAAUUCCAUGUGUAGCGGUGAAAUGCGUAGAUAUAUGGAGGAACACCGGUGGCGAAAGCGGCUCUCUGGUCUGUAACCGACGCUGAGGCUCGAAAGCGUGGGGAGCGAACAGGAUUAGAUACCCUGGUAGUCCACGCCGUAAACGAUGAGUGCUAGGUGUUGGAUCCUUUCCGGGAUUCAGUGCCGCAGCUAACGCAUUAAGCACUCCGCCUGGGGAGUACGACCGCAAGGUUGAAACUCAAAGGAAUUGACGGGGGCCCGCACAAGCGGUGGAGCAUGUGGUUUAAUUCGAAGCAACGCGAAGAACCUUACCAGGUCUUGACAUCCCGAUGCUAUUUCUAGAGAUAGAAAGUUACUUCGGUACAUCGGUGACAGGUGGUGCAUGGUUGUCGUCAGCUCGUGUCGUGAGAUGUUGGGUUAAGUCCCGCAACGAGCGCAACCCCUAUUGUUAGUUGCCAUCAUUCAGUUGGGCACUCUAGCGAGACUGCCGGUAAUAAACCGGAGGAAGGUGGGGAUGACGUCAAAUCAUCAUGCCCCUUAUGACCUGGGCUACACACGUGCUACAAUGGUUGGUACAACGAGUUGCGAGUCGGUGACGGCAAGCUAAUCUCUUAAAGCCAAUCUCAGUUCGGAUUGUAGGCUGCAACUCGCCUACAUGAAGUCGGAAUCGCUAGUAAUCGCGGAUCAGCACGCCGCGGUGAAUACGUUCCCGGGCCUUGUACACACCGCCCGUCACACCACGAGAGUUUGUAACACCCGAAGUCGGUGAGGUAACCUUUUGGAGCCAGCCGCCUAAGGUGGGAUAGAUGAUUGGGGUGAAGUCGUAACAAGGUA
rnacentral:rRNA from 1 species